rnacentral:misc_RNA from 1 species
AAAGUGCGACAAGUGUCACGACUUGCAGAUUCCCGGGAGCUGACAAAUCUCUGAAUGCAAAUUGCGGACCGACUUUCUGCCCUGUCGGCCAUGUGCUGCAGAGUGUUGUUGCCUUGAGCACUACAUCCUUUGAUGCCUAACACGCACAAAGGGAUACGGGGUUGACAAAACAAGUGUCCGGAACCUACGGUGCCUCACACCGGUUUUCGUCAGCUCUUAGAUUUGCGCAAGCUCACGUCCUAAAGACGAGCCCUUGCCUUGGAUCCCGCGCAUCGCGAGAGAAAAGGCAGAGCAAACACGAGUCUUUAUGUGCAGUCUUCUUGUGCAACGGAUUCUCGAGUGGCACAUCCACUCAUAAUCCACCCUCCUUUUGCUGACCUCUGCAGCAUAAGAAAACCCG